ACCACUUUCAGUCAGAAUCAACUGCGCUCUGAUACCAAAUGCUAGGAAUCCCUAACAGAUCUGGUAGUCCCAGUGAUAGUUACUAGAAUAACAGAAAGAGAGAGAAGAGAAAGUGAGGGAGAGAGAAUUUUAGGAGGGAAAAACAGUUAACUUUAUUGAUGAAUGAUUGCCCUGAAUAGGCCUUUCCAGCUGUUUAUAUACAAGUCAGCUAGCUAAAACAAUUGCUCCCGCCCAAACGCUUACUUAUUUCUAUACCUAGUUCUUCUACAUGUCACAUAUUGAUAUUAUGAGUAUGAAUGAAAUAUUGAUAUUAUAAUGAUGUUUAUUGAUUUAAGUGUCAAUUACUAGUUUUGGUGUCAAACAAUUAUUUUUUCUAACUACUGCUGUGUGCAUUUGGCCCCUUUCCCCUUUGACAAACAUGCCAUUAAUUAAGAUAAGAAAAUGACUAAAUAGAAAAAACUACAUGUGUCUUCAUAUAACUUUCUUUUCCUUUCAUUAAUUUUUAUUUUUAGCUUAAAUUGUCAACAGACGAACAGAUAAUGCAGGAUCGGAUGUAGACAAGAGAAGGCUUUAGAUUCCAAUACUCCCAAGCAAAUGAAUGAUGCCAAUGGAACUACAAAUUCAAGUCCAAGAGGGCAAGGCAUAGUGUGUAUAAGAAGGGUACAGGUACAACAAAUCAGAAAGAAAACAAAAAAAAUUAGUACAAUUCCAUAGGCUUUAUGGAAUUCUAAUAACAACGAGAUCAAUCACCAUUUCCCAGAUUAUAGAAACUUAACUUAGUGCAAAGAAUGGUUCAUCCUGGAAAAAUAAAAGCACUCAUUUCUUCUAGAUACUCUUAAUCAAGAAACCUUCCAACUCAAACACUAUACCAAGGAUACAUUAGGGUUUCAGAAACCCAACCAAAGAAUGUGCAGAGGAAAGAAGAAUAGAGAGAGUUUAGGUAGAAAAGAAAAAUGAGAAUUCGUUAGAAGAUAAUAGAAAGUAUUAUUCUUGAUAAUUCUGGAAUGAAUUACAAUAAAGGUCACUGAGUUUGUUAGCAGCAAUAAAGACAAUGUGCAGGUGACUGCAUACUGAAUCUCAAUACAAGUGAAAGAACUCAAAUUAAGACAAACACAGCAGUACAAUAAUGAAAAUAGAAUUGCAUGGAUAAGCCUAAACCAAGCAGAAGUGUUAGCAAACCAAGGGUUGGAACAUCCUCUAAGAACCUUCAACUUUUUUUAUUUAAUACGUAUUGAAAGUUUUAUCCCAUGAAACCAAACUAGAAAAAUAAUAAUAACUUUGAAGUUAAACCAAGUGUCAUAAAACAAGAAUUUCCUAACGGGAAAAAUAAAAAUAAAACAACUAAAAUUAGGUGCAAAACUUACAAUGAUUCGGCCUUCAAUUCUCAGAUCCUUCUACUCAAAAAGCCAUAUUUGAAUGCGGGCUUUCUAUGAGAACCACAUAAAAAAGAGAGAGAAGAAGAAGCAAGUAUUAAGCUUCCCAUUAAGGACAACCUAAUUUAAGCAAACCCAAAUGAGUAAAAGAAUAGAAUAAGCGAAGAACUGACUUACACUUUGAAGAAACCUGAAAAUCAGGUUCUGAUGCAGCAUAUCCCAGUAAGCACAAAGUAAAGCAACAAAUGAGAGGAGGAAGGAGACAAAAAAGCCACAAAUAAAAGUUGGGGGUUAAAGACAACAAGAAGCAUAAGUGUUAAACGUACAAUGGGUUGGGUUAUAAUCCUUUGGACCUUGGUACUAGCCAUGUUGAUGAGCUCUGGAGGAUUCCGGAGGCAAAGAGAAAGUUGAGUUGGAGAGAAGUGCAACCCUAGAACGAUUUGAGCCAAGAGGCAAAUUAGUCAUAUUUUUCUAACCAAAUAGAUUUUUUUUUAGCCAAACCAAAUAGAUAUUUUGUUUUGAGUAAUAUGCGGGGGGAUAAAUUACUCUAAGCUCUCUAUGGUUUGUUAAAAUUAGUUACACAAUACAUAUUUUAAAAAAAUAAUUAAAACAUUUAUUUUAAUUUUAACUACAGAAAUAACAUAAUAUAUAGCAAGCCUAGUCUGGUUUGAUCCAAUGGUAAAAAGAAAUAUUACUCACUUAGGAGACUCAGGCUCAAGUCUGAUACCCCCAAUCCCCUACUUAAAAAUAUAUAUAUAUAGAAAAAAUUACAGAUAUUAAAUAAUAAGAUUCUUAAAAUUACAACAGAUUAAAAGAUAUAAAUAUUAAAAACUAAAAAAAAAAUAUAAUUAAUAUGCCCUUAACAAAAUUAUUAAAGGAUUUGAUUUUAAAAGUAUCACUAUGUUUUAAUUGGGCUUUAAAAAGAUAACAACUAAUGAUUAAUUUUAGCACAAUAUAAAAAUGUGUCAAUAAUUUAUCCUGUGAACCAAAAAUGGCUAACAAAUUGAUAUGGACAAAUCACAGUUACAUUCUUUUUUUCCUUUUUUGAAUAAGUUAAGUUGUUGAAUAUUGGCUUAUUAAUAAUUUGAUUAUCUUAUUUUCUUUUUAAAAAAAAAAAUCAUAGCUUCUUUAUCACUUACAUAUAGAUCAUUUCAUUCCGUUCUUUUUUUUAAGGCUCCUUCUGUUUCCUAGGAAAUAUUUUUCAAGAAAAUGUUUUCUACAUUUGUUGGUAUUUGAGGCACUCAAAAAAAUUAGUCUCACAUAAAAUAUUUUUCUAGUUAAAAGAAAAAUUAACUUAUUUUACAGAAAAUGACUUCCUCUUUUGAGAAUCUUAUUAACACCUUUAUAUAUAAAAUUGUCAAUAUAUUUUAUUUUUUAAAUUAAUAAACAAUGAAAAAUAAGUCAUUUUAUUAGAAAUUUUUUCAAUGAAAACAUUUUCCACCGGAAAAUAUUUUUCAAAUGCAAGUUAUGUUCCACAAACAAACGGCGCCUUAAUUUUGCGAUUAGAAAACCCUAAAAAUAACAAAAGUGUUUUUACUUAAAAUUCCUAAAACCAUUUGAAUUCACAAAUAAAUGUUUGAUUAAUACAAGUGCCAGUAAAUACUUUGCAUACUGAAACCCAUAAAAUUCGGAUAGCUUCAUACAUUCGUCACUCUUUUUAAUUAUAAACAAAGAUUCACACAAACUUUAAGCACAAAACUGAACAGGAGCUGAGACAUAAAAGAACGAAAUAAAAGAAUAAAGUGAAGUUUUUGUAUUUGAUUGCCAAUCAUUUUUUGCAUGCUAUGGUAUCUAUUCAUGCAGUAAACCAAAGAGAUGUUACUGAGGAAAAGGACAGUUAGAAGGAAGAAUAAAUUUAAAAGUCACCUUCAUCAUGAAGGAAUGAAGACAUGAAGCUAAAGAAAAAUGUUUUAUAAAGCUCAUUUUUACAUUUAAGUCAUUACUUUUCAUCCAUUUUCUCAAAGCAUUUUUUUAUUUCUAUCUUUCUUCUUUUCAAAUCACACUCUAAGAAAACAGAUUUUUUGUGGGGAAAGUUUUCCACAUUAUAUCUUGAAUUACACCACUAUAAAAAUUUGUAGUGAAUAUAAAAUUAGUCACAACGUUGCCAUUAGAAGUGUGAAACAAAAGAUCACAGUGGUGAAAUUAUUUCACCACAAAAGCUAUAUUUUCUAUGGGGAAAUAUGAUCCAUUAAAAAUAUAGUUUAUUAGAGAAAAGUUUUCCCACUAAAAAUAAAACUUUUGCAGCGAAAAUCUUCCCCACUAAAAGAUAUGACUUUUGCAGCAAAACUUUUCUUCAUUAAAAGUUUGUCGAUUUGUGGGAAAUUUUUCCCCACUAAAGCAUAUCAUUAUAAUAAAAUAGUUACAAUUGAUUUAGUCAUAGGAGUUUGCUUACAUAUAAUUUAGUAGUUGCCUAUUUAUUAAUACUCAUUUUAUUAAAUCAAUUGAUUAAUAUGAGAAAUAAUAGAUCACCUUAAAAGUAUAUGGUUUCCAUUAUAAAAGAUAUGGAUAUUAAUGUACAAAGAUUUGGGACGACUCCAACCCCUGACUAUAAAAGAUCUCAAUAUGAGGGUUACAAUGAUUCAGUUGAGUUUUGAGUCAACAAUAGCACCUCUAUGGAUGCACUAGUUCUGAUGUGAUAACCAUCUGUCAGAAGUUGACAUUCAGAAUAGACAAAAGCAAGAAAAUUCUCUUAGAACAAUGAGUAAUAUUCUGGCCUCCACCUCUGUUUGUCUUGUCCAGAUGUUCAAACAGAAGCAUUUGUCAAUAUGAAAUACACCAACUUCCAUGCACAUAGUCCAAAAAAUAAAUGAUGCUUUAGGUUCAUUAGUUAGCUAUUGUGUUAAGCGUAAUUGCCCCAAAAAACAAGUGAGCAAAGACAGCUUUCUUAGAAUCUAUGUUUUGGAUUUUUACAAGGUUCCUUUUAACUUCAUCUAUAUUUUAUAGUCAUUUCUUAUUUGUUUUCUUUUGCAUCGAAUUGGAACCUGCAGGUUCAAGUUUUUGCUCUUUCUCAUUGGUAAUCAACUCAUUUUUCAUACUUUUCAUUGAAUUUGCUGUCUUUCAAGUAAAGAAUCCAUGUUAAUCUCAUCAGAAAUGGUAAAUAAAACAUGUCAAGCUCCAAUGGGAUUUUGGCAUUAUCAAUUUAACCAUCAAACUGAAAAAAGAAAAAUCAAAAGGAAUUUUCUUGAUCUAAGACUAUAUAGACACAUGGGUACCUAUUACCUAAACUAAUCUUGUGUUCCUAAACUGAUAAAUUUUGAAUUAAAAAAAAAUCAAAACCAUGGAAUAAUGUGUGUUUUAUAGAUCAUUGUAAUUCAAGGGUGGAUGUUAUUUUUUUGUAAUUGACAGUCAAAAGAAUAUAAUUAUAAUAAAUUGAACUCAAAUAAUUUCAUAAAUCAAUGAAGCAUGUCUGUCAGAUUUGUUUAAAAAUUGUACCACUUCAAAAAUUCAACAUAUCAAUAUAAAUAUAAAUAUAUUAAUUAGGAUAAUAAGAUAAAAUAGAAGUUGCAAUUGCUUACUUAUUGGAACCAGAAUAUUUAGACUUACUAUGAGGCUGGAGAUUAAAGUAGCAGAUGUGUCGAAAACAACUAAUCUGAGAGUUUCUUGAUCCCCCAAAUGCAGACACUAGCUAACAAUUAUAUUAUUAAAUCCACAUGAUUCCAUUGCUACAUGGAACUUUUGUUCCUGGUGCACACCAGGAACUGGUGUCAGUUCCUGGUAUGCACCAGGAAUUAGAAACUGAGACCAGUUCCUGAUGCACGAUCAGGGACUGAUAUCAUUCCCUGGUAUCCACCAAGAACUGAGAUUCAGUUCCUGGUCCAUACCAGUUUUCUAUACACAGAUUUGGUGAUACAAGUUUUUAGACAUACAUAUUGAAGGCAAAUUUACUUGGCACUUUGACAAUCAGCUCAUAGGAUUUUACUACUUAGGAGUAGAAAUAAAUGUGGGAAUUUUUCUUAAUGUUAUCCUCUAUCUACAGCUAGACAAAAAAUAAAUAAGAAAAUGAAAAAUAAAAAGUAUAAUGGGUGCCUUUACACUAUCUCAACUGUCAAUAAUCAUAUACCUAAUCAUUUGAUAGUCUUUAAAACUGUGUAUUCCUUCUGUAUAGAACUAUAUCAGCAGCUUGUAAGUGGGAUUUCUUCACUCUCUCCGUUAUCUUCGAUUCAUGAAUUUAGAAUGACAAUAAUUUCAGUUCCACCAGGAACUGCUCUAACAAUCCAUCACUUAGGGGACAUUGAGAAUUAUUCAAAAACAAUUGGGGGCUACGAGAAUCCAUCACCCCUAAGAUUAUUGAGCUAAAAUAAAAUAUCGAAAAUCAAACCCACAAUAUAUUGUGCCUCCAACCUUAUCGAGCAUUAUAGGUUCUUUUGAACUUUAUAGAAAAUCAAAACAAGACCUCCAACAGUGAAUUUCAUUAAUCUUCCAACAGUCAUUGGUUUGUUAACAUCAUCUAUGGACAAAUUCUCACAACAAAUAAAAGAAAAAUAGAAGUGAGAUAUCAAACCUGGUUGCAAUCGGGCGAAGGAAGAAGAAUGGGCGCCGCAGGUCCUCCAAGAUCAACUACUCGUCAAUCUGGUGUUUGGGGCGAUGGAGAUUGUGCUUUACCAACAAGCAAUAUAGAGAGUGGAGAGGAACUUGACUCGCACGAUAUGGUCCUCCAAACCUUCGUUUUCAGUUCAAGACCCGAGUAACUUCAAUUUAUUUAUUUAUUUUUC
rnacentral:lncRNA from 1 species